CCUCCGGGCCGCCAUNGGCCGCCGGGAUUAGAGUUUGAUCCCUGGGCCUCAGCCGCCGAAACGCUGGGCGGCAUGCCUAACACAUGCCAAGNUCGUACGGAGAGUGGGGCAACUCACUCUCAGUGGCAAACGGGUGAGUAACGCGUGAAUAACCUGCCUUUGAGAAGGGAAUAACUGUCCGAAAGGAUAGCUAAUACCCUAUAUUGCCUUUUGUCACUAAGGCAGAAGGUGAAAGCGAGGCUGUCAAAGGCUUCGGCUCAAAGAGGGGUUCGCGUCCUAUCAGGUAGUUGGUGGGGUAAUGGCCUACCAAGCCAAUGACGGGUAGCUGGUCUUAGAGGACGAUCAGCCACAGUGGGACUGAGACACGGCCCGCACCCCUACGGGGGGCAGCAGUGGGGAAUCGUGGGCAAUGGGCGCAAGCCUGACCCCGCAAUGCCGCGUGAGAGAAGAAGCCCUUCGGGGUGUAAACCUCUGUCAGAUGGGAAGAUGGGACUAGGGGCUAAUACCUCCUAGUCUUGACGGUACCAUCAGAGGAAGGGACGGCUAACUACGUGCCAGCAGCCGCGGUAAUACGUAGGUCCCGAGCGUUGCGCGAUGUUACUGGGCGUAAAGCGUCCGUAGCUGGUUUCGUAAGCGGAUUGUCAAAGCCCGAAGCUCAACUUCGGCANGCAUUCCGAACUGCGUUACUUGAGUCCUGUUCAGGUAGGCGGAAUUCCCGGUGUAGCGGUGAAAUGCGUAAAUAUCGGGANGNAACACCAGUGGCGAAGGCGGCCUACUGGGACGGUACUGACGUUCAUGGAACAAAAGCUGGGGGAACCAAACCGGAUUAAAUACCCCGGCUAGUCCCACCCUUAAACGAUGGNAUGUNAGGUGUAGUGAUAACUUCCCUGCACCCCCAGCUAAACGCCGUUAAAANUCCCCCCCUGGGGGANUACNGGNCCCAAGCCUUGAAACUCAAAGGAAUUNGGGGGGGGNCCCCCCCNAACCGGUGNAACCGUUNGGNUUUAAUUUCNAGGCNAACCCAAAAACCUUACCCAGGNUUUUAAANUGNUNANAAAANGGNUUUCCAAAAAAAACCCGGGUUUNCCNUUUNNGGGAAAAAUCCAACCCCAGGGGGGGNCNGGGCCCCCCNNCCCCCNNNNUUUUGGAAAAUUUGGGUUNAAUCCCCCNANNAANNCNANCCCUUU
rnacentral:rRNA from 1 species